GUUCAUGGGGUCACGAAGAGUCGGACACAACUAAGUGACUAACACUUUCACUUUUUCAAGAUGGUCAUCAAGCCAAGGUGCCCCUCUCAGUGUAGUCACUUUGAGCUCAUGUGGAUGAAGGCUCUACCCUGGGUGUCAUCUACCUUCUUGCCUGAUAGAAAGGAAGAGCAUGGAGCAGCUCCUAGAGGAGGUUAUCUAGAGGCCAGGCCUCAAAGUGGUGCAGGCGCUUCUGUGCAGUCAUUGGCUGGACUCAAUCACAUGGUCAUGUGUAAUGCAAGGGAGCCUGGGAAACAUAGUGUGCACAGGAAGAAAAGACUAUGGCUUUGAGUGAGCCAUCUGCCACAUGCCUUAUAUCAGUCUAUCCUUGGACUCCCUAGUGAUCAAGAUUCUGGAUCAAUAAUCUCUGCUUGAGAAGAACAGGUUCACAAAAGGAUCUGGGCCUCAGACUUGGGACUUCUGUCUUUCCGCCUACUCUGACAUGAGAGAGGGGCCAACGCCGUUUGCCACGAUGCACAGAGAAUCCAAGAGGGCCCUGCGUCCUGGAGGUGCUUUCUUCAGUUGCCACCUCUGAGGCCUGUUAUUCAAAGACCUACAUGACAACAGGAUGAAAGAAAAAGUCCUCACCUGCACACCAAUGAAAACCAAGGAACUUCUAAAGGACCUGAAGCACAAGGCAGUUAACCUUUCUUUUCAUGAGGCAGACUUCACUAACACCUUGUGAAGGAGAUUGAUGAUUCUUUCACCACCAAGGUACUAUUUCAGUGUCGAGUUAGUUCCUAGUCUCUCAGUCCUAUACCCCCCCUCAGGAGUAAGUCUGCAAGUAAAUCAUGGUGUCAUCUGUAAAGAGGAUCUAAUGUAGUUACUUUAUUCUCCUCACUCCCAGGGAACUUAAUGAACACUCACCUUUACCAGUGAGUUCCAGGGAUAGUUAGGAAAAAAAAUGAAGUCCAAAUGGCAUUAAUUUUUGGUGUUCCCUAAAUAGGAGACACCAGAAAUUGUAUGACCACCCCUGCUGGCGCAACCCCAGGAGACUGCUUUUCUAGUUUCUAUCCCUGCUAUCUAAUAGGAAAGGCAUCAAUAGUUGCCAAUGUUCCUUUGAUCCAGAUUUGCUGCAUUAUUCCUGUGAGCUCAAGGCAGGAAACACAUAUAACUAACUUUAUGUCAACAAAGCCAGGGAAACCAAGUACAGAGACAGACUACAAGUACCUUGUUUUCAAAUACUUUCAAACACACCAAAAACACAUUUCAAGAUUUGACUGAAGGAGGGAAAAAGGUAAGAAAACUACAGCAAUCUAAGACAGGGGUCAGCAAACUAUGUGGCCCGUGAGCCACAUCCAGCUUGUUGCCUGUUUUUGUAAACAGUUUUACUGUAACACAGCAAGCUCAUUUGCUGUUUUGUCUACGGCUGCUUUCUAGCUACAGUGGCAAAGUCACAGAGGCUGCAUGGCCUGGGAAGUCCUUUACAGAAAAAGUCUGCACAUCCCUGAUCUAAGGAAUAGGAAGUCUUUAGGGCCCAUCUAAAAUCUUUAAAAUCAGUGAAGACAAGUGAGGCCAGUUCAGUCUUAAUGAUUCACUUGCCUCAGAGACAGACUGAAACGCACAUGGCUCAUAUUGGUGGAUCAUUGCAGGCCUUUGAAAUUUAACUCGUAGGUAUGCUUCCGGAUGUCAAGCAAAAGCACCACACUGAAGAUGGGUGUUACCCUGAUUGUAGUCCAAGUCCAAAUAGAUUUUCCUGUAGCUCAACAACUGAUAAUAACUGAAACUAAGUUCCCCAUCCUUUUGAUGAGAGGUACAAAGAACAGGUAGCUCAACAUAAGGAAUUUUCUAAGAACUAGUACAGUCAACGAGAUCUGAGGUUCCCAAACUGAAGAGUCAGAGGCACUGCAGCAAAUUCUGAGGGGUCCCACCAAGUAUUUUGUAUCUUUGAGGGAAACUGCAAUACCUGACGUCUAUUAUGCCAUGUGAACUACUAACUCAAGGCAGUUAACAAUUUUGACAUCAGAUUACACUACAUCCCUUUCAAAGAUGUCAUGUCUUUGCAAAGCCGGGCUUUGGCAGUUGCUAUGAUAAAAAUCAAGUACCUUAUGAAAAUAUAAGUGUGGAACAAGAAAUGAAGGUGGCAAUGUUUCAUAUGAUCCCAAGGUUUGAGAAACUUUGCUACUUAAUGGGGGGGUUAAGUAACUAAAACUAUUUUAUUAAAAUGAAAAUACUAUUUUCUUUCAAUUAUGUUUAUUAUUUUUUCAAGUGGGUAUGAACUUAUUAUAUAUACAGCCAAGACUUGUCACGCAGUUCUUACACCUCCUAAUCUCAUUUUUUCUCUCUGGAACAAAGGGGAAAUUAAGACCUUCACUCCACUUUUCCAUAUAUUGGUCAAAAGGCCUAAAUAACUUAAGGUUUUAGAGCACUACAUGGGGAGAUGUAGAGUUAAUAUAGUCACUGCUGCAUAUAAUCAGGGACCCAUGGAACUUUACAUCUUCCCUAUUUGUGACCAGAAGAACAGGUUCAUACCUAAGUCCACCUGAAAGGCUCCUUGGUUACUCAGAAGUCUUAUCUAUCAAAGGCGAGAGGCCAGGCUGAAUCAGAAAAUGGAAGUUACAUGAAUAGUACAUUCCAAGAUAAUGUGAUUGUUCUGGACAGUCUACAGAAGCAUGAAAUAAACUUUAACACCUGCAAUUUACAAGAUAAGAUUCAUCACUAUUCCAGCUCCCAAGAAGCCAAGACUCAUGAAACCAAAACCAAUCAAAUCGAAAUCUCAGAUCAAAUCUAAGACCAAAAAAGUAAAAGGUGCCUCUGCACUGUUCUAUGUUACUUCCAGUGUUUCAGUGUUUCUCCUUCAAAAUACUCAGCCUAUCUACAUUUGUUUAAAAUCUGUCUUUAUUAGAAGCUCCAGGAUGGAACAGAUGAUGUCUUCCUGGUUCAGUUACAUUCCUCCAGAGUUACAGUGAGCAGAGGAAUACCCCUACUUUGGCUGUUUGCUAGAAUUAAUCCCUUCUUUCCAACAAUCUUCAUUCCUACUAGAGAAAUCUGAUGGGUGGGAAAAGAGGAAGUAGUCAUUGUCUUUUAUUCUAUGGAGGACUCUGGUCACAGCAAAUGUAUCAUGCAGGAAACAUCUAUCUGUAAGGGGAAGACAGGUGGAUCCUGAACAUAUUAAGUACAGAAACCCUUCCUUCAAAAAAAAAAAAAAAAAAAACCUUAGAGAAACACUGAAAUAUAACAUAGUUAAAAACAAAGUUGUUUUGAUUGAAGUAAGAGAGGUAACCCAGAGCGUUGCAUCCUCAGCUACCUUCUGGGAAAUACUAGGAGUCCGAACCCUAUUAUACCUGGGGUUCUGCCCACUUCUAAAUGCAAUGAUUUUAACAUCAAUUUCAAGUAAAGUAAAACUCCACUAAAAUGUGCCUAGCUUGUCUACAGAUCUAAAUUUAUAAUGGGCCAACUAUAGCAAUGAAUUUUUUUCUCAUCAGAAUGCUAAGGUCAGAAAGUCAGAGCUUCUUAAUCAUCUCCUGGCUUCAUCUCAACAGGGACUAGGCAUCAGCUCCUAUGAAAAAGAGAUGGGAGAGGAAAACUGCCUCCUUGCAUACAGUACAAAUGAGGACAUGCUGUCAGUUAAACCACACAAAACUGACAGGGAGGGCAGCAUCACUACUACAAAACAAAAAGUACCACUGAUGGAAUCUGGGUAUGGCUGAAAAGGCACCACUGUAGAUCUGGAUUCCUCAUAUCUCCAACUAGUUUAAACAACCCAUUCAGUCCACCUCUACUUUUUUUCAAUAAAUGAAUAAGGUCUUUUCUAGCUUUAGAUUUCUGUGAUGCUAAACUAACAUGAUGUUUUCUUAAGUACAUAAGGUGUUUUUUGUUUUUUUAUAAGGUGUUUUUAAAGCUAUUAUUUGGGGUAUUUGUUCUAACGUGAGAGGUUAUCUUCAUCAGUCAACACAUGUGGCUCAAAACUAAUCCCCAGCCAAAGAAGGAAAUUACUGGCGUCACAAACUACUCAUCCACCUUAGUCUUUACUUCACAAGGUUUGGGUUUCACAGUAGGAGAGCAGCUCAACCAUUCUCGAGCACUAAAGCCUCUAAUUAAGGCAAGCACUGUUGGGGCAAACAAUUCUGGAAAUUCCCUGAUGGUCCAGUGGUUAGGACUCGGCAUUUUCACUGCCGUGGGCCCAGGUUCAAUCCCUGGUUAGGGAACUAAGAUCCUGAGAACUGCUCACUGAGGCCAAAAAUAAAACGAAACAAACCAAUUCUCUUUGAGAAAGGAAUUGCAAAUGGAAGCAAAAUUAAUCCGGUGACUACUCUCUCCUGGGCGUUAGCUAGCUAUUUCCACAGUAAAUGAAUGCUAUUCCCACACUCCCGCCCAGCGCUCACUCACAGGGUCUGCAACAGAUGUCGAGUCACAGCCGCCAUGCGCAUAGCACCAUCUUGGCUGCUGCCAUCUUACGAACUAAGUGAAAACAUGAGGCUAGAAACUUGUUUUCCUUAUCCUCCAAAUUCUAAGUGGGAAAAAGUGUGUGACCUAGACAACACAUAAUUCCUUUCUCAUCAAAACCAGGGCACAAUACUUUUCGGUCACAACAUGAUCUCAAAAUAUACACAUUUUAAAAGCACACAUUUUUUCCAGUCAAACCUGUAGACCUAACCCUCCUUCACACCACUCUUCAGAAUGCAAAAGAAAAACUUUAAAUCCAGUAAUACCAGACUUUCAUAUAAAUUUCAGCUCACUGUACAGCCUAAUACUUAGGCAACUCCCACUCCUCAGUGUAUAAGCAUGAUCCAAAGGAUUUUAGAGAUUUCCACUUAGAAAAAUAUAUUAAUACUUUAGCCCCUUCUCUGUUAACCUGCACCUCCACCUAAGUAACUUCAGCCUAUGCUCAUGAAAUUUAGCUACUUGCUUAAUUAAAGCUGUCAUAUCUGAAAGGCUCUGAAAGACAGGAAAGCAUGCCACUUCUACACUAGCUUUUAUGCUGAACCACUACCUCUGCAUAACUCAGAAAGAAAGGGAGGGAGGGAGGGAGGGAGGGAGGAAGAGAAGAGGUAAGAGACAAAGCUGUGAGUGCUAAAGACAAGAAUACAAUGCAAUGGUUGGCCAGAGGAGAUGGGCUACCAAAGAUAACUAUUCACCAGUAAAAGGUAAAAAUUUAUUCCUCAGGAGGAACUGGUUUCUUGAGUAUAAAAUGCAUCAAACAGCAAAGACCAAGUAAACCUGCUGCUUCUUGGAAUCAAUAUUUUUGGGUUCAAUG